rnacentral:rRNA from 1 species
AUUGAACGCUGGCGGCAUGCCUUACACAUGCAAGUCGAACGGCAGCACGGGAGCAAUCCUGGUGGCGAGUGGCGAACGGGUGAGUAAUAUAUCGGAACGUGCCCAGUCGUGGGGAUAACGUAGCGAAAGCUACGCUAAUACCGCAUACGAUCUAUGGAUGAAAGCGGGGGAUCGCAAGACCUCGCGCGAUUGGAGCGGCCGAUAUCAGAUUAGGUAGUUGGUGAGGUAAAGGCUCACCAAGCCGACGAUCUGUAGCUGGUCUGAGAGGACGACCAGCCACACUGGGACUGAGACACGGCCCAGACUCCUACGGGAGGCAGCAGUGGGGGAAUUUUGGACAAUGGGCGCAAGCCUGAUCCAGCAAUGCCGCGUGCAGGAUGAAGGCCGUUC